UCUAGACUUUAUUAACGCUGACAAAGUUCAGUGAUUGCUAAGAACAAGCAAUCGCCUUGUGUUUUGUUUUAAGAGCCAUUUUGGUUCUCGAAUGGAAGAUAAGCUAGAGGAAGUCUACUGCAAAGUCUAUACCAGGGGUUCUCAGGGGCGAGAGAAGUGAGGGCUUCAGAAGAAUGGGGAUAAAACCUUCGUCUAUAAUUGGAGACCUGUGAACAGUGAACGCCGGUUAUGUGGUUACCAUGGAAAGGGUUAAGAGUUACCAAUAAAUCAAGAUGGCGACACACGUCUGAUUCUAGCACUUGGAAUGAGAGGCAGGAGGAGAAUUCAAAGCCAUCCUCAGCAACGAACAAACAUGAUGUGAACAACUGCCAAUCAUGAUUGGUCGCGGUGGACUUUAUCGCCACGAAAUGUAAGGGGAAUCGUGAUUGGUCGCGGUGGACUUUAUCUCCACGAAAUGUAAGGGGAAAUAAACCUUGUGCCUGUAGUUGCUUUUAUCGGGUAUUUGUCUCUUAGUAACAAGAAAUACAUGGCCAGAAUUAAGGACACAAAAAAUACCUAAGGUUUACACUGACCAGACCUUGUCACUUACUGGCUUUGGUCAGGAAGGAAAAGUAGACCUGGGGCUGGAGAAAUGGCUCAGCAGUUAAGAGGGUGUGCCACUCUACAGAGAACCAUUACAAGCAUCCCUGUGGGGUGGCUCACAGCCAUCACCCCUGCUCCGGGGGAUCUGACACACUAUCCUGGGUUCAGCAGACACACACACAUGAACAUAGCCUCCCCACCCCACCCC